rnacentral:misc_RNA from 1 species
AAGUCGUAACAAGGUUUCCGUAGGUGAACCUGCGGAAGGAUCAUUACAUGGCGUGCAUUUUGCGCGCGGACACGCCUGGGCUUCGGCCUGGGUGUGCUCUCGUCCUUGCCUGUUUGUACCUUUUGUUGCUUCCUCGGCGGGAGUCUUCCCGCCGCUAGGAACCCCAAAAACACCUUGCAAUCAGCAGUUUAUUCUGAUAAAUACCUAAAUAUUUACAA